rnacentral:rRNA from 1 species
CGGGGGGCAGCAGUGGGGAAUUUUGCGCAAUGGACGAAAGUCUGACGCAGCAACGCCGCGUGGGUGAUGAAGGUUUUCGGACUGUAAAACCCUGUCGUCAGGGACGAAGGUGCUUGCGUUAAUAGCGUGAGUGCUUGACGGUACCUGGAGAGGAAGCCCCGGCUAACUCUGUGCCAGCAGCCGCGGUAAUACAGAGGGGGCAAGCGUUAUUCGGAAUUAUUGGGCGUAAAGGGCGCGUAGGCGGUUUUUUAAGUCAGAUGUGUAAUCCCCGAGCUCAACUUGGGAACUGCAUCUGAGACUGGAAGGCUAGAGUACUGGAGAGGGUGGUGGAAUUCCUCGUGUAGCGGUGAAAUGCGUAGAGAUGAGGAGGAACACCAGUGGCGAAGGCGGCCACCUGGACAGUAACUGACGCUGAGGCGCGAAAGUGUGGGUAGCAAACAGGAUUAGAUACCCGAGU